GAACUAGAUACUGUUCCGAAAUAUCACUUACUCGUACCGUCCUGACCGCGUAGCUCAGUUGGAAGAGCAUUGGGCUAGUAUUCCAAAGGUCGUAGGUUCGAAUCCCACCGUGGCCGGGCAUAUUUUUCAAGCUCCAUAUUUUUCAAGCUCGCCCGGUGUAGAUAUGCACUCAGAGUAACAUCGCAGGCAUAUUAUUCACCUGAGUACACAACACCAACACAGAAAAAAAUUCAUCUUACGGGCUAGUAUUCCAAAGGUCGUAGGUUCGAAUCCCACCGUGGCCGGGCAUAUUUUUCAAGCUCGCCCGGUGUGGAUAUGCAUUCAGAGUAACAUCGCAGGCAUAUUAUUCACCUGAGUACACAACACCAAUAUUUAAAGUUAUCUAACUUUUUUUAGAGCUGAAGCACGUAUUUCAAAUGCUCAAAAUACGUCACAUUUUUAAAACAACG
rnacentral:tRNA from 1 species